rnacentral:rRNA from 1 species
CCUACGGGAGGCAGCAGUGAGGAAUCUUGGUCAAUGGUCGGGAGACUGAACCAGCCAAGCCGCGUGAGGGAUGAAGGUACAGAUUAUCGUAAACCUCUUUUGUCAGGGAACAAAGGCGGGGACGCGUCCCCGGAUGAGUGUACCUGAAGAAAAAGCAUCGGCUAACUCCGUGCCAGCAGCCGCGGUAAUACGGAGGAUGCGAGCGUUAUCCGGAUUUAUUGGGUUAAAAGGGUGCGCAGGCGGUCUGUUAAGUCAGCGGUCAAACCCCGGGGCUCAACCCCGCCCCGCCGUUGAAACUGGCAGUCUCGAGUGGGAGAGAAGUAUGCGGAAUGCGCGGUGUAGCGGUGAAAUGCAUAGAUAUCGCGCAGAACUCCGAUUGCGAAGGCAGCAUGCCGGCUCCACACUGACGCUGAGGCACGAAAGCGUGGGUAUCGAACAGGAUUAGAUACCCUGGUAGUC